rnacentral:rRNA from 1 species
UACAGAGGUCUCAAGCGUUGUUCGGAUUCAUUGGGCGUAAAGGGCGCGUAGGCGGCGGGGUAAGUCGGGUGUGAAAUCUCAGGGCUCAACCCUGAAACUGCACUCGAUACUGCUCUGCUUGAGGACUGGAGAGGAGACUGGAAUUCACGGUGUAGCAGUGAAAUGCGUAGAUAUCGUGAGGAAGACCAGUGGCGAAGGCGGGUCUCUGGACAGUUCCUGACGCUGAGGCGCGAA